AACAAGAACAGAGCAAGAAAAAUAGAUAGUUUCAUUAUUGCUCGUCACUUCUAAUUUUCUUCUUCUUUCUUUCUUUCUUUCUUUCUUUU
rnacentral:ribozyme from 14 species